AUUGAACGCUGGCGGCAGGCCUAACACAUGCAAGUCGAGCGGAUGAAGGGAGCUUGCUCCUGGAUUCAGCGGCGGACGGGUGAGUAAUGCCUAGGAAUCUGCCUGGUAGUGGGGGAUAACGUCCGGAAACGGGCGCUAAUACCGCAUACGUCCCGAGGGAGAAAGUGGGGGAUCUUCGGACCUCACGCUAUCAGAUGAGCCUAGGUCGGAUUAGCUAGUUGGUGGGGUAAAGGCCUACCAAGGCGACGACCCGUAACUGGUCUGAGAGGAUGAUCAGUCACACUGGAACUGAGACACGGUCCAGACUCCUACGGGAGGCAGCAGUGGGGAAUAUUGGUCAAUGGGCGAAAGCCUGAUCCAGCCAUGCCGCGUGUGUGAAGAAGGUCUUCGGAUUGUAAAGCACUUUAAGUUGGGAGGAAGGGCAGUAAGUUAAUACCUUGCUGUUUUGACGUUACCAACAGAAUAAGCACCGGUUAACUUCGUG
rnacentral:rRNA from 1 species